UAGACCGAAGUGAGGCGGGUGUGAGAACAGCUGGAAUCAGCUUCCAGCCAGGACAGCGCUACUCCCAGGAGGCUCGCACCUGCUCCUGCUGUUCCAGCCUCUUCCUUCCUGUGAUGGAGGAUACCUUCUGCUCACAAGUUGUGGCCCAGCCAGCAGAGCACGAGGGAGAAGAGAACCCUGUCUUCUGAGAUACUGAAUAAGUCAGACACUCUCUGCGUAGGAUCAUCGUGCCGAGCAUAAACUGGACUUUCCUACUUGCCUGAUAGGAGACAGACAGAUCCCUGUUUGCCAAAUGAACAUCCAAGAUGUCCUUGGUGGUGUCCUCCUGUGGAAUCUGGUUCAUCUCCAAUCUUUCAGAAGACAUCAAAG